rnacentral:rRNA from 1 species
CCCUUAGAUGUCCUGGGCCGCACGCGCGCUACACUGAGUGUCUGAGAUAUGAGGCAUGCCUGGUCCGGCAAGGUCUAGGUAAUCACGAAAAGGCACAUCAUGCUUGGGAUUGAUUAUUGCAAUUAUUAGUCUUGAACGAGGAAUUCCUAGUAAGCACAAGUCAUCAGCUUGUGUUGAUUACGUCCCUGCCCUUUGUACACACCGCCCGUCGCUCCUACCGAUUGAAUGUUCCGGUGAGCUCUUCGGACUGCGCGGUCUGCAGUUUCUGCGUUCCGUGCGGAAAGUUGCGCAAACCUUAACAUUUAGAGGAAGGAGAAGUCGUAACA